rnacentral:rRNA from 1 species
GACGAACGCUGGCGGCGUGCUUAACACAUGCAAGUCGAACGGAAAGGCCCUGCUUGCAGGGUACUCGAGUGGCGAACGGGUGAGUAACACGUGGGUGAUCUGCCCUGCACUUCGGGAUAAGCCUGGGAAACUGGGUCUAAUACCGGAUAGGAGCCAUUUUUAGUGUGAUGGUUGGAAAGUUUUUUCGGUGUAGGAUGAGCUCGCGGCCUAUCAGCUUGUUGGUGGGGUAAUGGCCUACCAAGGCGGCGACGGGUAGCCGGCCUGAGAGGGUGGACGGCCACAUUGGGACUGAGAUACGGUCCAGACUCCUACGGGAGGCAGCAGUGGGGAAUAUUGCACAAGGGGCGCAAGCCUGAUGCAGCGACGCCGCGUGGGGGAGGACGGCCUUCGGGUUGUAAACUCCUUUCGCUAGGGACGAAGCUUUUUGUGACGGUACCUAGAUAAGAAGCACCGGCUAACUACGUG